CUAAGGCAGUAACCACAGAGAGGGCUGGCCAUCUUCAAAGAGGCCAAGAACAUCUCUGAAGUCUCUAUGUCACUGACACCUGCCAGUUCACAGAAGACAGACGGUGAGAGACAGAAUAUAACAGAGAGACCUGCAGCACUGCUCUACCACUUGUGAAGCUACACCCCACCCCCACACCACCCUAUAGUAUCAGCUACAUUGCAAACUAGGAAGAAGGACCAGAGCAAGCAGAAGAGAUGG